UUCCGUUUGUUAUCAAACCAAUAGCGUGUAAUUGUUUAUCACGUUGAGGGAGUCAGACAAGAGGAAGGUCAUUUAAACGCUUCAAACAAAUCAAGAGGAUAAUCAAUCUUGAAGAUCCACAGUAGUGAUAUUAAUGAUCGAAUUAAAUACCAGACGGACAGAACUUUAUCAGUAUUCUUAUCCGAAACGAGUAUGCGUCUUAGGCAUGCUCUUUAUAUUCUUGGGAUUAGGAAUGACGAUUUCUGCAUAUAAUCAUACACAAAGUAGAAACAAUUCUCUUCGAUCGGUCGGUCCCAUAUUACUAACUUUGGGUGCCACAAUGACGUUAAUUGCCGUCAUUUCGUACUUGUGUCUGAAGAGUAAGGAAAACCAACGACACGAUUUAUCACGCGUUGUCGUGGAUCCGAGAUCGAGUAUUCGCCCUUCCGGUGCAUUGCCACCACCUUACACGUCUAUUUCUUACAACGAUUCGGCUCGAAUUCCACAAGAUGAUCCCCCGCCAUCUUACGAAUCCGUGUGUCAAACUUACCAAUCGAGGAACGAUGCACUCGGUCCCAGUGCACCGGCGAUAAAUUAUAAUCCUCGGCAAGAUAAACGCACCGUUUCUUCUAAUAAUUAUUACUAGAAGGAAUGGGAUCAUCUCGCUGUUCGAUCCAGCAAAAAUCUACGUGGUGUAACUAUUUUGUGAUAAUUCCUUCAACUGAAAUUGUCGAAUCGUAUUUUUUCUGUAAAAAUUAUCUUCUUUGUAUAUAAUAUAAAAUAAGUAUAUAUAUAUUGCUAGUUAAAUUUAUGAAUAUUUUCAGUUUUGUUCCAUAUUAUUACUUUGUGGCAUCAAUUUAAAAUAUUCUGUAAAUAAAAAUAUGAGUAUGUGAAUAAAUAAAAAGACAUGUAUAUACGUGCGAUGAAAAAAGAAAGUGAAGAUUGUUUAUGAGCUUAAAAAGAUCAUCUUGUCCGUAACAAGAUACUCAAAAAAAUGUUCAUUUAGAUAAAAAUUUUAAUAAAUAUUUUUAAAAAA